rnacentral:rRNA from 1 species
CUACGGGAGGCAGCAGUGGGGAAUAUUGCACAAUGGGCGCAAGCCUGAUGCAGCCAUGCCGCGUGUGUGAAGAAGGCCUUCGGGUUGUAAAGCACUUUCAGCGAGGAGGAAGGGUAAUGUGUUAAUAGCACACUACAUUGACGUACUCGCAGANAGCACCGGNCUAACUCCGUGCCNNAGCAGCCGCGGUAAUACGGAGGGUGCAAGCGUUAAUCGGAAUUACUGGGCGUAAAGCGCACGCAGGCGGUUUGUUAAGUCAGAUGUGAAAUCCCCGCGCUUAACGUGGGAACUGCAUUUGAAACUGGCAAGCUAGAGUCUUGUAGAGGGGGGUAGAAUUCCAGGUGUAGCGGUGAAAUGCGUAGAGAUCUGGAGGAAUACCGGUGGNGAAGGCGGCNCCCUGGAC